AGACCCGAAACCCGGUGAUCUAGCCAUGGGCAGGUUGAAGGUUGGGUAACACUAACUGGAGGACCGAACCGACUAAUGUUGAAAAAUUAGCGGAUGACCUGUGGCUGGGGGUGAAAGGCCAAUCAAACCGGGAGAUAGCUGGUUCUCCCCGAAAGCUAUUUAGGUAGCGCCUCGUGAAUUCAUCUCCGGGGGUAGAGCACUGUUUCGGCUAGGGGGCCAUCCCGGCUUACCAACCCGAUGCAAACUGCGAAUACCGGAGAAUGUUAUCACGGGAGACACACGGCGGGUGCUAACGUCCGUCGUGAAGAGGGAAACAACCCAGACCGCCAGCUAAGGUCCCAAAGUCAUGGUUAAGUGGGAAACGAUGUGGGAAGGCCCAGACAGCCAGGAUGUUGGCUUAGAAGCAGCCAUCAUUUAAAGAAAGCGUAAUAGCUCACUGGUCGAGUCGGCCUGCGCGGAAGAUGUAACGGGGCUAAACCAUGCACCGAAGCUGCGGCAGCGAACGUAUCACCCAAGACAACUUUACGGAGUUGACGAUUGACGGAGCGAAGCGACGUCAAAGCGUUCAUUAAAGUCGAGUUGGCUUAGGGAUACGUUCGUUGGGUAGGGGAGCGUUCUGUAAGCCUGUGAAGGUGUGUCGUGAGGCAUGCUGGAGGUAUCAGAAGUGCGAAUGCUGACAUAAGUAACGAUAAAGCGGGUGAAAAGCCCGCUCGCCGGAAGACCAAGGGUUCCUGUCCAACGUUAAUCGGGGCAGGGUGAGUCGACCCCUAAGGCGAGGCCGAAAGGCGUAGUCGAUGGGAAACGGGUUAAUAUUCCCGUACUUGGUGUUACUGCGAAGGGGGGACGGAGAAGGCUAUGUUGGCCGGGCGACGGUUGUCCCGGUUUAAGCGUGUAGGUGUGUGUUCCAGGUAAAUCCGGUUCACUUUAACACUGAGGCGUGACGACGAGGCACUACGGUGCUGAAGCAACAAAUGCCCUGCUUCCAGGAAAAGCCUCUAAGCAUCAGGUAACAUCAAAUCGUACCCCAAACCGACACAGGUGGUCAGGUAGAGAAUACCAAGGCGCUUGAGAGAACUCGGGUGAAGGAACUAGGCAAAAUGGUGCCGUAACUUCGGGAGAAGGCACGCUGACACGUAGGUGAAGUGAUUUACUCAUGGAGCUGAAGUCAGUCGAAGAUACCAGCUGGCUGCAACUGUUUAUUAAAAACACAGCACUGUGCAAACACGAAAGUGGACGUAUACGGUGUGACGCCUGCCCGGUGCCGGAAGGUUAAUUGAUGGGGUCAGCGCAAGCGAAGCUCCUGAUCGAAGCCCCGGUAAACGGCGGCCGUAACUAUAACGGUCCUAAGGUAGCGAAAUUCCUUGUCGGGUAAGUUCCGACCUGCACGAAUGGCGUAAUGAUGGCCAGGCUGUCUCCACCCGAGACUCAGUGAAAUUGAACUCGCUGUGAAGAUGCAGUGUACCCGCGGCAAGACGGAAAGACCCCGUGAACCUUUACUAUAGCUUGACACUGAACAUUGAGCCUUGAUGUGUAGGAUAGGUGGGAGGCUUUGAAGUGUGGACGCCAGUCUGCAUGGAGCCGACCUUGAAAUACCACCCUUUAAUGUUUGAUGUUCUAACGUGGACCCGUAAUCCGGGUUGCGGACAGUGUCUGGUGGGUAGUUUGACUGGGGCGGUCUCCUCCUAAAGAGUAACGGAGGAGCACGAAGGUUGGCUAAUCCUGGUCGGACAUCAGGAGGUUAGUGCAAUGGCAUAAGCCAGCUUGACUGCGAGCGUGACGGCGCGAGCAGGUGCGAAAGCAGGUCAUAGUGAUCCGGUGGUUCUGAAUGGAAGGGCCAUCGCUCAACGGAUAAAAGGUACUCCGGGGAUAACAGGCUGAUACCGCCCAAGAGUUCAUAUCGACGGCGGUGUUUGGCACCUCGAUGUCGGCUCAUCACAUCCUGGGGCUGAAGUAGGUCCCAAGGGUAUGGCUGUUCGCCAUUUAAAGUGGUACGCGAGCUGGGUUUAGAACGUCGUGAGACAGUUCGGUCCCUAUCUGCCGUGGGCGCUGGAGAACUGAGGGGGGCUGCUCCUAGUACGAGAGGACCGGAGUGGACGCAUCACUGGUGUUCGGGUUGUCAUGCCAAUGGCACUGCCCGGUAGCUAAAUGCGGAAGAGAUAAGUGCUGAAAGCAUCUAAGCACGAAACUUGCCCCGAGAUGAGUUCUCCCUGAGACUU
rnacentral:rRNA from 1 species